AUUGAACGCUGGCGGCAGGCCUAACACAUGCAAGUCGAGCGAGCGGCGGACGGGUGAGUAAUGUCUGGGAAACUGCCUGAUGGAGGGGGGUAACUACUGGAAACGGUAGCUAAUACCGCAUACCAUCAGAUGUGCCCAGAUGGGAUCAGCUGGUAGGUGGGGUAACGGCUCACCUAGGCGACGAGCCCUAGCUGGUCUGAGAGGAUGACCAGCCACACUGCAACUGAGAAACGGUCCAGACUCCUACGGGAGGAAGGAGUGGGGAAUUUUGCACAAUGGGCGAAAGCCUGAUGCAGCCAUGCCGCGUGUGUGAAGAAGGCCUUCGGGUUGUAAAGCACUUUCAGCGGGGAGGCGUUACCCGCAGAAGAAGCACCGGCUAACUCCGUGCCAGCAGCCGCGGUAAUAC
rnacentral:rRNA from 1 species